rnacentral:rRNA from 1 species
UUUAUAUGAGAGUUUGAUCCUGGCUCAGGACGAACGCUGGCGGCGUGCCUAAUACAUGCAAGUAGAACGCUGAAGUCUGGUGCUUGCACUAGACGGAUGAGUUGCGAACGGGUGAGUAACGCGUAGGUAACCUGCCUCAUAGCGGGGGAUAACUAUUGGAAACGAUAGCUAAUAC